AGUGGCAUUGUUGGGUCACAUAUUGAGUGUAUGUUUCACUUUAUAAGAAACUGCCAAACUCUUCUGCAAAGUAACUCUACCAUCUUGCAUUCCCAGCAGCAAU
rnacentral:pre_miRNA from 1 species